UACGGAGGGUGCAAGCGUUAUCCGGAUUCACUGGGUUUAAAGGGUGCGUAGGUGGGCAGGUAAGUCAGUGGUGAAAUCUCCGGGCUUAACCCGGAGACUGCCAUUGAUACUAUUUGUCUUGAAUACCGUGGAGGUCAGCGGAAUAUGUCAUGUAGCGGUGAAAUGCUUAGAUAUGACAUAGAACACCAAUUGCGAAGGCAGCUGGCUACACGAAUAUUGACACUGAUGCACGAAAGCGUGGGGAUCAAACAGG
rnacentral:rRNA from 1 species